rnacentral:rRNA from 1 species
CGGGAACGUGGCUCCCCCGGGAGUGUUAUAGCCCGGCGCGCAAUGCCCCGCGGCGGACCGAGGUUCGCGCAUUCGCAAGGAUGCUGGCGUAAUGGUCACCAGUGACCCGUCUUGAAACACGGACCAAGGAGUCGUCCUCGUAUGCGAGUGUUCGGGUGUCAAACCCCUACGCGCAAUGAAAGUGAACGCAGGUGAGAGCCUCGGCGCAUCAUCGACCGAUCCUGAUGUUCUCGGAUGGAUUUGAGUAGGAGCAUACGGGGCCGGACCCGAAAGAAGGUGAACUAUGCCUGUGUAGGGUGAAGCCAGAGGAAACUCUGGUGGAGGCUCGCAGCGGUUCUGACGUGCAAAUCGAUCGUCAAACAUGGGCAUGGGGGCGAAAGACUAAUCGAACCUUCUAGUAGCUGGUUUCCGCCGAAGUUUCCCUCAGGAUAGCAGUGUUGAGCUCAGUUUUAUGAGGUAAAGCGAAUGAUUAGGGACCCGGGGGCGCUCUUUAGCCUUCAUCCAUUCUCAAACUUUAAAUAUGUAAGAAGCCCUUGUUACUUUGCUGAACGUGGGCAUUCGAAUGUAUCAACACUAGUGGGCCAUUUUUGGUAAGCAGAACUGGCGAUGCGGGAUGAACCGAACGCGAGGUUAAGGUGCCGGAGUGGACGCUCAUCAGACACCACAAAAGGCGUUAGUACAUCUUGACAGCAGGACGGUGGCCAUGGAAGUCGGAAUCCGCUAAGGACUGUGUAACAACUCACCUGCCGAAUGUACUAGCCCUGAAAAUGGAUGGCGCUCAAGCGUCCCACCCAUACCUCGCCCUCGGGGUAGGAACGACGCCCCGAGGAGUAGGCGGACGUGGGGGUCAGUGACGAAGCCUAGGGCGCGAGCCCCGUU